rnacentral:rRNA from 1 species
UACGUAGGCAGCAAGCGUUGUUCGGAGUUACUGGGCGUAAAGGGUGCGUAGGCGGGUCUUUAAGUCAGAGGUGAAAUCCUGGAGCUCAACUCCAGAACUGCCUUUGAUACUGAGGAUCUUGAGUUCGGGAGAGGUGAGUGGAACUGCGAGUGUAGAGGUGAAAUUCGUAGAUAUUCGCAAGAACACCAGUGGCGAAGGCGGCUCACUGGCCCGAUACUGACGCUGAGGCACGAAAGCGUGGGGAGCAAACAGG